GGUCUUUGGUUCGAGUCUCAGAUA
rnacentral:siRNA from 1 species